rnacentral:rRNA from 1 species
GAUGAACGCUGGCGGCGUGCUUAACACAUGCAAGUCGAACGUGAAGAAGCAGCAAUGUUUCUGAAAGUGGCGGACGGGUGAGUAACACGUGGGUGACCUGCCUUGCAGAGGGGGAUAACGAGGGGAAACCUUCGCUAAUACCGCAUAGGCUUACACUGAUGGGAAUGGUGUGGGUAAAACUGAGGUGCUGCAAGAGGGGCCUGCGUCCGAUUAGCUAGUUGGUGAGGUAAUGGCUCACCAAGGCGAUGAUCGGUAGCUGGUCUGAGAGGACGAUCAGCCACACGGGAACUGAGAAACGGUCCCGACUCCUACGGGGGGCAGCAGUGAGGAAUAUUGGGCAAUGGACGAAAGUCUGACCCAGCAACGCCGCGUGGAGGAUGAAGGUUUUUGGAUUGUAAACUCCUUUUGUGGGGAAGAGUGAGGACGGUACCCCAAGAAUAAGUCACGGCUAACUACGUG